CCUACGGGGGGCAGCAGUGAGGAAUAUUGGUCAAUGGACGAGAGUCUGAACCAGCCAAGUAGCGUGAAGGAUGACUGCCCUAUGGGUUGUAAACUUCUUUUAUAUGGGAAUAAAACGUUCCACGUGUGGGAUUUUGUAUGUACCAUAUGAAUAAGGAUCGGCUAACUCCGUGCCAGCAGCCGCGGUAAUACGGAGGAUCCGAGCGUUAUCCGGAUUUAUUGGGUUUAAAGGGAGCGUAGGGGGAUUGUUAAGUCAGUUGUGAAAGUUUGCGGCGCAACCGUAAAAUUGCAGUUGAAACUGGCAGUCUUGAGUACAGUAGAGGUGGGCGGAAUUCGUGGUGUAGCGGUGAAAUGCUUAGAUAUCACGAAGAACUCCGAUUGCGAAGGCAGUUCACUGGACUGCAACUGACACUGAGGCUCGAAAGUGUGGGUAUCAAACAGGAUUAGAUACCCGUGUAGUC
rnacentral:rRNA from 1 species